rnacentral:rRNA from 1 species
UUGGAGGGCAAGUCUGGUGCCAGCAGCCGCGGUAAUUCCGGCUCCAAUAGCGUAUAUUAAAGUUGUUGCAGUUAAAAAGCUCGUAGUUGAAUUUCGGGAUUAGUACGCUGGUCGUGCCUUCGGUACGUACUGGUGUUACUGAUUUCUACCUUCUGACGAACCAUCAUGUCAUUAAUUUGGUGUGGUGGGGAAUCAGGACUGUUACUUUGAAAAAAUUAGAGUGUUUAAAGCAGGCUCGCGCUUGAAUACAUUAGCAUGGAAUAAUGAAAUAGGACGUUGAUCCUAUUUUGUUGGUUUCUAGGAUUGACGUAAUGAUUAAUAGGGAUAGUUGGGGGCAUUAGUAUUCAAUUGUCAGAGGUGAAAUUCUUGGAUUUAUUGAAGACUAACUACUGCGAAAGCAUUUGCCAAGGAUGUUUUCAUUAAUCAAGAACGAAAGUUAGGGGAUCGAAGACGAUCAGAUACCGUCGUAGUCUUAACCAUAAACUAUGCCGACUAGGGAUCGGAUGAUGUUAAUUUUUAAUGACUCAUUCGGCGCCUUACGGGAAAC